rnacentral:rRNA from 1 species
ACUCCCAAACCCAAUGUGAACCAUACCAAACUGUUGCCUCGGCGGGGUCACGCCCCGGGUGCGUCGCAGCCCCGGAACCAGGCGCCCGCCGGAGGGACCAACCAAACUCUUUCUGUAGUCCCCUCGCGGACGUUAUUUCUUACAGCUCUGAGCAAAAAUUCAAAAUGAAUCAAAACUUUCAACAACGGAUCUCUUGGUUCUGGCAUCGAUGAAGAACGCAGCGAAAUGCGAUAAGUAAUGUGAAUUGCAGAAUUCAGUGAAUCAUCGAAUCUUUGAACGCACAUUGCGCCCGCCAGUAUUCUGGCGGGCAUGCCUGUCCGAGCGUCAUUUCAACCCUCGAACCCCUCCGGGGGGUCGGCGUUGGGGACUUCGGGAACCCCUAAGACGGGAUCCCGGCCCCGAAAUACAGUGGCGGUCUCGCCGCAGCCUCUCCUGCGCAGUAGUUUGCACAACUCGCACCGGGAGCGCGGCGCGUCCACGUCCGUAAAACACCCAACUUCUGAAAUGUUGACCUCGGAUCAGGUAGGAAUACCCGCUGAACUUAAGCAUAUCAAUAAGCGGAGGAAUU